rnacentral:rRNA from 1 species
UACGUAGGGGGCUAGCGUUGUCCGGAAUCAUUGGGCGUAAAGAGCGUGUAGGCGGUCCGGUAAGUCCGCUGUGAAAGUCGGGGGCUCAACCCUCGAAUGCCGGUGGAUACUGUCGGGCUAGAGUGCGGAAGAGGCGAGUGGAAUUCCUGGUGUAGCGGUGAAAUGCGCAGAAUAUCAGGAGGAACACCUAUUGCGAAGGCAGCUCGCUGGGACGUAACUGACGCUGAGACGCGAAAGCGUGGGGAGCAAACAGG